GUCUCUGUGGCGCAAUCGGUUAGUGCGGUCGCAUGUUAACUGAAAGGUUGGUGGUUCAAGCCCACCCAGGGACG
rnacentral:tRNA from 1 species